ensembl:lincRNA Gm29663 predicted gene 29663
GCUAAAGGGCAUAGGCAAGGACAAUAGACUUGGAAUUUGGAAGAAUUCAUCUCUGCUGAAGAAUUCCCAGAGCACUCAUGAAAACAGCAGGUUGCCUAACUCACCAGAGAACACUAAACCCAAAGUAAACCCUCCAUUGGCGCGCAAGCAAGUGAUUAGAGGAGGGUGUCUCAGCCGUGAGGGCAAGAGCCUAGAAUCUCCAUGUGAGGGACCCUGAAAUUAACGUUAACUCAGAGAGUGAUUUCUUCUUGCUUCUAGAAACAAUUUGCUCUGACAGCUAUCUCAUUCAGGAGUGAAACGUAUGUUUUUGGCUGGAACAGUCCAUCUCCUGCCUCUGGAUUUCAGCUGGAAGCUAAGGGAGCUACACAAGUCCAGGGAGUUCUUCAGCUCUGGCAGAGCCGUAAGGACUUUCCUGUGGAGAAAUCACAGAGCAGCAACUGCACGUUUCCCCCUGCUCUUUAAAUAAGCCGUCCUCCAUUUUCUGGGAUCGUUCCCAAAUACAAUAUACUAUAAUUGUAUAUCUUUUUUUCCUGCAAAGGUAAUUCAUUUUAAAAUUCCUUGAAUGCUCCUUAAUUUUAAUAUCUUUUCAAAUACCUUUCUACCAAUAAAUUCAGUCAUUCAUUUAAAAUAUUAUUAUGGGAUUACGUUUUGUGAUUUUAGCCUGGAAAAUAUGGUCAAUAUACUACUAGUUCAUGACCUUCAUUUGGCCACCCAGUUGUGUCCUGAGAAGCGUCCCUCUGGAGAAACUACUUUAAUUGGUCACCACUGAAUUCAAGUGUGCUAUUGACAUUACUCUUAUCUGAUACAAAGUAAACAUUUUCAGCCCUUGAUUUUCUGUUGUCUCUAUUUAACU